rnacentral:rRNA from 1 species
UCAUGAGGUAGCAAUACCUUGAUGGCGACCGGCGCACGGGUGAGUAACGCGUAUGCAACCUGCCCGAUACCGGGGUAUAGCCCAUGGAAACGUGGAUUAACACCCCAUAGUACUUUUAUCCUGCAUGGGAUGUGAGUUAAAUGUUCAAGGUAUCGGAUGGGCAUGCGUCCUAUUAGUUAGUUGGCGGGGUAACAGCCCACCAAGACGAUGAUAGGUAGGGGUUCUGAGAGGAAGGUCCCCCACAUUGGAACUGAGACACGGUCCAAACUCCUACGGGAGGCAGCAGUGAGGAAUAUUGGUCAAUGGACGAGAGUCUGAACCAGCCAAGUCGCGUGAGGGAAGACUGCCCUAUGGGUUGUAAACCUCUUUUAUAAGGGAAGAAUAAGUUCUACGUGUAGAAUGAUGCCUGUACCUUAUGAAUAAGCAUCGGCUAACUCCGUGCCAGCAGCCGCGGUAAUACGGAGGAUGCGAGCGUUAUCCGGAUUUAUUGGGUUUAAAGGGUGCGUAGGCGGUUUAUUAAGUUAGUGGUUAAAUAUUUGAGCUAAACUCAAUUGUGCCAUUAAUACUGGUAAACUGGAGUACAGACGAGGUAGGCGGAACAAGUUAAGUAGCGGUGAAAUGCAUAGAUAUAACUUAGAACUCCGAUAGCGAAGGCAGCUUACCAGACUGUAACUGACGCUGAUGCACGAGAGCGUGGGUAGCGAACAGGAUUAGAUACCCUGGUAGUCCACGCCGUAAACGAUGCUCACUGGUUCUGUGCGAUAUAUUGUACGGGAUUAAGCGAAAGUAUUAAGUGAG